UGACCUCAAAUAAAUCAAUGUGUUACCAAAG
rnacentral:piRNA from 1 species